AUGGACAACGCCGGGCUGCUCGCCGCCUGCCUCGCCACCGUCGUGGCCUACCUGCUGGCUGGACAUCGAUUGGUGGGUGCCGCCGACGCCCGCUGGCGCCAUCUUCUCGUCGUCCCCAUUGGCCGGAGAGCCAAACAUGUGGCGCUCGCCGUCGCGUUGUGCCUUCACGCGGCGGUCCUCCUCUCGUCCUUCACCACUAGCAGGGACCUCGCGAUGCACCUCCACGCGACGGAGGCCAAGCUAACGCGCAUGGAGCAAAUUAUCCAGAACCAAGAAAAGCACAACAUCGAGAUGAUGAACAGCAUAGCAAGUAUGUUGUCCAAUACUUCCGAUGACAUAAAGCUGAUGACCGAAAAAGUCACCAAAGCCGACAGCACGCCAAACUCUGAAUUCACUGUCGCAGUGGAAGAUGAUCUCCAGCCAGGUGAAACCAUGGAUCAGGAGUUUCCCAGCAUCUGUGAUGACCCGGAGCCGGAGGAUGCACCGAUACCUGAUCAGCAAGACGAAGCAGCGGAACCACACAAGCCAUGGAGGUUCAUCCCGGUGCCCGAAGGCCACGUCUUUGUGCCGGAAUGCGUCGGCGACAAGCUCAUAGUGCACAUCCGGCCGUCCUCGCAAAGUGGCUCCGAGCACGGCGCCACUGUUGACGCCGACCAACAGCUCCCCUUCAUCUGCGGACAUCCGGAGGCGGGAACGCCGUCCUUUUACGACGGCGGUCCUUACCGCGCGCUGUUCUGGUCGCUGCCCGAGCCUGACGACCAAGGCCCUAAAAACGUCUUGCCGUUACCAUGGCCGCGGUCGGAGAUGUGGGUCAGGCUGACGGCGGCGGCGCUGGAUGGGACUUGGGCUGUAAACCCCCCGAUUAUACACGAACAAGCGUUACCUGAGUCCGUGACGCUCUCCACCGACGUGGUGAUGUUUUACCGGCCGGACCCGGAGGCUGGGGGAACGAAUGUGAUGAUUGCUGCAACCGAGGAUGUGGAGCAUGUGUAUAGCAUGGAGGAACAUGGCGCCCCGGCGGUGACCGCUCUCACGCCGCACUCUAUUCUUCCCACAUAUUCUGGUCUUCCCUAG
rnacentral:rRNA from 1 species